AUUAUAACUCUCGGGGCAUAAUAGAACAAUAUAAUUAGCUUUUAACUCUUUGUUCGAUAGAAUGAGAAAAAGUACUCGUUGCAAAGCUAUACUGUUAGGGCGCAACUGAGUAGUCUAAUGUUGUUCCGAUUUUGGUUCUUUUGAAGGUUGACAUCGAUUCGUUCCAAAUUUACACUCUUGGGACAUAAUAGAACAAUAUAAUUAGAUUUUACUCUUUGUUCGAUAGAAUAAGAAAAAGUACUCGUUGCAAAGUUAUACUGUUAGGGCACAACUGAGUAGUCUAAUGUUGUUCCGAUUUUGGUUAUUGUGAGCGUUGACAUCGAUUCGUUCCAAAUUUACACUCUCGGGGCAUAAUAGAACAAUAUAAUUAGCUUUUACUCUUUGUUCGAUAGAAUGAGAAAAAGUACUCGUUGCAACGUUAUACUGUUAGGGCGCAACUGAGUAGUCUAAUAUUGUUCCGAUUUUGGUUCUUGUGAACGUUGACAUCGAUUCGUUCCAAAUUUACUCUCUCGGGGCAUAAUAGAACAAUAUAAUUAGGUUUUACUCUUUGUUCGAUAAAUUGAGAAAAAGUACUCAUUGCAAAGUUAUACUGUUAGGGCGCAACUGAGCAGCCUAAUGUUGCUCCAGUUUUGGUUCGUGUGAACGUUGACAUCGAUUCGUUCGAAAUUACAACUCUCGGGGCAUAAUUGAACAAUAUAAUUAGCUUUUACUCUUUGUUCGAUAGAAUGAGUGUGAGAUAUUGAAUCUCGAUGGAAUUUGGCUAACUUUGGCCAAAUGGACCAAAGUGGGCAAUUGAACGGUUUGGACAAGUUCCAUUCGGUAUUCUAACAAGUUUGGAAGAGCUAAAAAGAGUUUUGAAGGUGUUGGAAUGGUUUUGGCAUCGAUCGGCGCGAGGUAAAGCCGAAAAGAGGUGAAAACAGCAUUCUGGAGCUGUUAUACCGGUACAAGUGUGAUGGUUGUACCGGUACAACCAUCGCAGCUCUCGGGUUGGAAGCUGCCAGACCUUGUACCGGUACAAGGGGGUCUUGUACCGGUACAAGCCCUGCGAAACCGAGAAACCGAGCUCUCGGGUUGGGCUGUCUGCCAGGCCUUGUACCGGUACAAGGGACCCGAAACAGUGGGUCUGUUUGGAAAAUUAGAUUUUAGAGGGGCUUUUUGGGAUUUUGUUACAAUAGAGGGCUAACAUACCUCUCUCUCUCUCAGCCUCUCUCACUCUUAGCCACUCUCUCUCCCUCUCACUUAGCUCUCUCUCUCUCUCUAACCGAAAAGAGAAGAAAAGAAGGAGAAGAAUGAGAGAAAGAAGAAGAAGAAGAAGAGAAGAAUGAAGGGAAGGAGGAGAUCAAGGAGGAGAAGUAGAAGCUUCUCUCCCUCCUUUUCCUCAAGCUAGGGCUUGCUUUCGAGCAAACCCUGGAAGUAAGCCUCAACCCUAAUUGUGAGAUUCUAGGAUUUUGGGAGUUUUUGUUGGUUUUAUUGGUUCAAAUGGAACCUAAUGAGUUUAGAGGACAUGGAUCUAGCUCACAAUGAAGCUAGAAACUAAUGGUUUCCCUUGGGUGCUAAACCUAGGGUUGGAUUUUGGGGUUUUUGGGAAUAUAGGAUUUUGAUCUAUUUUGAUGGGUCGAAAACCUAAUUGUUAUGUUUCCGAACGCGUAGGCGAAGACGGUUCGUCGAUCCGACGAGCGAGUGCGGAGUUAUCGCCGAUUUGGUCGCUUUAGGGUUCGUUUUGACCCAAGGUGUUGAAGCGGCGCACAAGGACCGCGACGCCGAGUUUCAUAGUUUUUCGGCACUACCACAAGGUGGGUGGUAACCUUCCCAAAGCCGCGGGGCUACGUUCUAUGUCCAAGUUUAAUGUUGAUCUAAUUGCAUCUUAUUCAUGUGCAUAUAGGGCUAGUAGAUGAUUGUUGUUGUUUACAUUUGCAUGCUAGUAGCUAUAUGUUUAGUUGAUUGAUCCAUGAUCUAGUAUGCAUGAAAACUAUAUGAUGAAAACCUAGACCCUAUAUGAGAUGAUUAAUGUUUAUGUUGCUAAAGAACUAGUAUGAUGUAACUAGUGUUGAUAAUGAGUCAAAAUGGCAAGUGGCACCUAACAUAGAAAAUUAUGACGAGUGGCAUAUGAUUGUUGAUAGCUUAUGACAUGAGAACCCUAGUGUAGCUGAAACACUAUGAGAUUGAGUAUUAAAACACCAUGAUUCUAAAAUGAGAUUACCCUCAGAGGGUAGAAUGCUGUUGGUCGUGAGUUGAUCGUGCUCACAUAGCCUGUCUGCGCUUGGAGGGGUCGCUCCCCCCAAGCUGUGCACUCCAGAGGUUGGUCACUAGAGGGACAGUCAGUGUGCUGUCUGGACGGUCUGUAUGCUGUCCGCAGGCGGUCUCGAGAGUAGUUUAGUGAGACUUUCCCUAUGAGACUUACACGUGAGUUAUGCUUGUGAACUUCGAGUUCAUCAUGAGAUUGGGUAACUUAUUGAGUCACACUCAUUACUUGUUGUUUAUAGUAGCUUCCCUAUGGUUGUUCAUAUUAGCUUAAUUGUUGUUGUUGUUCAUAGCAGCUUAUCACAUAGCUUUAUUAUCGUUCAUGCAUGCAUGAUAUCAGAUUGAGGUAUAGCUAGAUAUUCAUGAUUUUACCUACUUGCUUACGUUCUUUACUUGCUCAGUUAUCAUACCUGCUUUUGUUAGUUUAGCUUUAUAUAUAUAUUGCAUAUAUAUCUCUCUAUGCCUGCUUCGACCUAGUGGGUAGAUCGAUGGAGUCGGCGGCCGAACCCACUGGGAACUAUUCGUAGUUCUCACACCCGUUGUUGCAGGCGCUAGUUCGAGUGUCCCGACCGAGCGGGAGGAUCGCGGCAAGGGCUUGGCGCCCAAGCAGUAUCAGUUGGUAGCUUACUUUCUACUUGCAUUAGCUCCACCCUGUCUUUAUAUUUUGAGAGUAGAUGUUGUAUAGGGUGAGGUUUUGGAGAGUACUUGAUGUAUUUUCAUUAUGAAAAAGAUUGAAAAUCAUGUAUGAAGGUUUAACGAGAUUUAAUGCAAGUUGUAUUUAAAUGCUUUAAAUUUUAUAGUUCAAAUAGUUACGUUUCACUCUUUUGUAUACUUGUAUACUUGUAUGCUUUUACUUGUAUCGCUUGCUCUUGAUGGUUUUAACACUGUUUGUGUUAUCGUUGUUCGAUUGUGCAUGAAAUCAAAUUGUUUUUCCUCGGGACUUGUUGUACACAAUCUCGUUGGUUAGCCUUGGGCGGAUAGGGGAGACUCUGUCCGUUCGGCCUCACGCCGCCGCCCUCGAACCGGACCAAAUAGGUACCGUUUUCGGCCCAUGUGGUUGGGGCGUGACAAUGAGAAAAAGUACUCGUUGCAACGUUAUACUGUUAGAGCGCAACUGACUCGUCUAAUGUUGUUCCGGUUUUGGUUCUUGUGAACGUUGACAUCGAUUCGUUCCAAAUAUACUCUCUCGGGGCAUAAUAGAACAAUAUAAUUAGGUUUUACUCUUUGUUCGAUGGAAUGAGAAAAAGUACUCGUUGCAAAGUUAUACUGUUAGGGCGCAACUGAGUAGUCUAAUGUUGUUCCGGUUUUGGUUCUUGUGAGCGUUGACAUCGAUUCGUUCCAAAUUUACACUAUCGGGGCAUAAUAGAAUAAAAUAAUUAGCUUUUAUACUUUGUUCGAUUGAAUGAGAAAAAGUACUUUGUAAGGAAGUGAAUUCUCGAAAUCUGAGGAUUGUACUUUUAUCCAGGAUCGACUGACUGUCGAGAGGAUACCCUUUG
rnacentral:lncRNA from 1 species